CGAAAGUCCGAAAACUGCCAAGGGUCCGGCCCUUAACGGCCGUGAGUUGCCCGCCCUGGGAGGUGCCUGGCUUUGCCAUCUUGUGCCUUUCCCCACCCCACUUCGGACAGAUACUGUGAUACUGUUCAGGAACUCCUCUCUUAACCACAGUCCGUUGUAGCUUAGUUUAGCAUCCUCAGCCUCAAGAGUAGUCUGGACUGGUAAUAUCAACCUCUUGCAAGCAACUGAAUUAGGUUUAUGCAUCUUUUCCAGUUUACCUCAGUGAACUGCAAGAUUUGCAGAAUGCUUGCAGAGAAGCUUUUCCUCACUGUUACAGGAAAACUUCCAGAAGUGAUUCAAGCUCCCUCUGGACCUGAUUGAACUUGGAUGUAAGGCCUGGAAUUGCUGCAGUCCUUUUGGUGGCAACCUGAGUUUGAAGUCAACACAUGGGGAAGGGCAAGACCAAAAAAACAGAGAAAUAAAUGGACUUUAGUAAGGGGAUUACAUCAAUUUUUCAAUCUGUCCUACUUUUGAUCUUUAGUUGUGUGAGUUAAUAAACUUCCUUCUAGUUUAAA